rnacentral:rRNA from 1 species
AUUGAACGCUGGCGGCAGGCCUAACACAUGCAAGUCGAACGAGUGGCGGACGGGUGAGUAAUGUCUGGGAAACUGCCCGAUGGAGGGGGAUAACUACUGGAAACGGUAGCUAAUACCGCAUACCAUCGGAUGUGCCCAGAUGGGAUUAGCGUGUAGGUGAGGUAACGGCUCACCUAGGCGACGAUACCUAGCUGGUCUGAGAGGAUGACCAGACAAAUGGGAACUGAUACACGGUCCAGAAUCCUACGGGAGGGAGCAGGGGGGAAUAUUGCACAAUUGGCGCAAGCCGGAUGCAGCCAGGCCGCGUGUAUGAAGAAGGCAUUCGGGUUGUAAAGGACUUGCAGCGGGGAGGCGUUACCCGCAGAAGAAGCACCGGCUAACUACGUGCCAGCAGCCGCGGGAAUAC